UACGGAGGGUGCUAGCGUUGUUCGGAAUUACUGGGCGUAAAGCGCACGUAGGCGGCUUUGUAAGUUAGAGGUGAAAGCCCGGGGCUCAACUCCGGAAUUGCCUUUAAGACUGCAUCGCUCGAAUCCGGGAGAGGUGAGUGGAAUUCCGAGUGUAGAGGUGAAAUUCGUAGAUAUUCGGAAGAACACCAGUGGCGAAGGCGGCUCACUGGACCGGUAUUGACGCUGAGGUGCGAAAGCGUAGGGAGCAAACAGG
rnacentral:rRNA from 1 species